UACGUAGGGGGCUAGCGUUGUCCGGAAUCAUUGGGCGUAAAGAGCGUGUAGGCGGCCCGGUAAGUCCGCUGUGAAAGUCGGGGGCUCAACCCUCGAAUGCCGGUGGAUACUGUCGGGCUAGAGUGCGGAAGAGGCGAGUGGAAUUCCUGGUGUAGCGGUGAAAUGCGCAGAUAUCAGGAGGAACACCGAUUGCGAAGGCAGCUCGCUGGGACGUAACUGACGCUGAGACGCGAAAGCGUGGGGAGCAAACA
rnacentral:rRNA from 1 species